AGAGUUUGAUCCUGGCUCAGGAUGAACGCUGGCGGCAUGCCUAAUACAUGCAAGUCGAACGGAAUCUUAUAUGUUCCUCGUUUUGGAUUAAGUUCCAAGUUGAGGAACAAUAAGAUUUAGUGGCGGACGGGUGAGUAACACGUUGGUACCUACCCUCUAGUGGGGAAUAACUUCGAGAAAUCGAGGCUAAUACCGCAUAAUAUCUACGGAUUAAAGCUUUAUGCGCUAGAGGAGGGGCCUGCGUCUGAUUAGCUUGUUGGUGAGGUAAAAGCUCACCAAGGCGACGAUCAGUAGCUGGAUCGAGAGGUUGACCAGCCACACUGGGACUGAGAUACGGCCCAGACUCCUACGGGAGGCAGCAGUAAGGAAUCUUCCACAAUGGGCGAAAGCCUGAUGGAGCAAUGCCGCGUGCAGGAUGACGGCCUUCGGGUUGUAAACUGCUUUUAUAUGGGAAGAUUAUGACGGUACCAUAUGAAUAAGGACCGGCUAACUACGUG
rnacentral:rRNA from 1 species